GUCCACUAGGCUCUAGGGUUUCAGGAAAUAUUCUAAACAAUGUUACUCACCUCUUAUACGUAAUCGCAUAAUUAUGCCACAUGCAUAUCCGGAAAUCCACUGGUCUUGUAUUCAACUAAGCCAACUAACUUACGUAACUCAUGAGUUCACAACGCAUGGAGUCUCAUUUUCCUCUCAUACGGGUCCCGAAAAUCUCCACUAGUGAGGGUCAUUCCCUGGAAAGUACCUCUCAAGCGGUCAAGGCAUAGGUCACUGACGAUAAGACUUUUCCCAAGCGGUACCUCUUACAUGGGUUACGUGAAAGGUCACGUAUGUCCGUCGUCGAUGGAUCAUCUUUCCCUAAGUGACACCUCUCAUAUGGGUUACAUCAAGGGUCAUCGAUGUCCAUCCUUGAUGGAUCAUCUUUCCCUAAGUGGCACCUCUCACAUGAAUUACGUAAAGGGUCACGGAUGUCCAUCCUCGAUGGAUCAUCUUUCCCUAAGCGGUACCUCUUACAUGGGUUAUGUCAAGGGUCACGGUCUCUGAUUUUAGUACCACGUUCUUACCCGGUUGAUGCACUAUGUAAUCCUUCAACUCGGAUCUCAGGCAAAGGGAACAAUAUGAACCAUGAAGUUUAUCUCAACUACAUUAUUUUGAGAAAGCUUUUGCACACGUAAUGAACUUGUAAGCUUUAUUUCAACAACAGUGUUUUAGACACUAAUUAAUGGUGGUGAUGUGAUUACUCUUUAGGUUUUGUACGGAAUGUGUAUGAUUAAGGUAUGCUAUUGCCGCAAUUUAUGAAAAUGUAGGGAAAGUGAUUUUAAUAGGUUGCUAGAUUGGAAAGUUAUUAUCAUAAAUGAGAUAUAGUUUGUAUAUCCUCUUGUAAACUUGAGUUGAGUUGAAAUUUGGCAAAUGUCAUGAAUCACAUCUCCAAUUUAUGUCGUUUUUAAAUCUUA